GAGAGGGAAAUGUCACCCGGAGCCCGGGCCCGCGGGGGAGAGGUGGCGCGUUAGAGAUGUGUGUGGGAGAGAGGGAGCGAGAGAGAGAGAGAGGGGGAGCGAGACCUCCGCUGGCCCCGCGAACUUGUCAAGAACACCAAGCUUUUGGGGCUUAAAAAGCCUACACCAAUCAUGGCUACGAAAGAGAGAGUUUGUAAUUCUGGAGCAGUUUAAGGAAAAAAGUAGUGCGAUGCAACAUUUCUCAUUACAGCACUAUCUGAACACCUCCUCAUAGUGCCUGUCCUGCGUUACAGGUUCUUCUCCUCAGAAAGUGCCAUUAAAUUGUCAGAGAAUCUCCUCAUACGUUACAGCAGAACAGUGGCCAAGCAAUCUUCUCACAGAAUGCAUGAACUUCAAUCUUGAACUGAAGAAGACUCAUCCAAUGCCUUAGGAAGGACUGAUGGAGUUGGAAGAGAAGCAGGGGUCUCCAUGAAGGGCAGUCAGUUAUAGUCAUGGUCGGCAUGCUUGGUUGGUCUGCCAGUCGACACGUGCAGCUCAGACCUGGCCACAAUGUGAGCUGCCUCCUGUUCUCCUAAACAUCAGAAGUGGAAAUUUAGAGUAAUCUGUUUAGAAAGGAAUGGGAAAACAGCCAGGCUAGCUUCGGCACAAGUAUGUUGGUGGCACCUAUAAGCAUGCAGGUGUGUGGAGGAACAGGUCCUGUUCUCGCUGUUGUUACUCCCACAUAGACAGACUCUGUAAUUGAUUAUGUGUGGGUAGGGCCCUAUUGAAAUUCAGGAGAUUCUGCAGUAGUGCGGGGUUCUUUUUAUGAAAGUUCAGUUGCAAGAUCAGGACCCUACUGUGACUCCUUACUGUGCAUUCUGUCACUGUCUCAUUGGUUGUACUGGAACCUGCCUAUUGGGAUAAUUACCAAAUACUAUAUUCCUCAAAACUUCUUAAUGGCACUGAGGCUUUGUGGAUAGUUGAUCACAUGAUGAGAAAAUUCAGCUGUAAGUACAUCAAAAUGAUUGACUUUUUCAAUAGUUAGUCUCUACUGAUGUUGGCAAACUAAUAGUGAUAAAAAUGUGAAUCAAGAGGUCUGACUUACAUCAAAUUACUUCAGUUCUUUCUAGAAAAUAUCUACAGUAUACCCAUUAAGGAUUUUAUUUUACUUAGGUAAUAGACCAUGGGACCCUGAAGUUCUUCCCUACUGCAGUUAGGUAGGGAGUUCUAAGUUGCUUGUUUUCUUUAUUUUCAGAAUGGUGUGUCUCUGACUUGCUCUGUGUUUUGGCUGAUAAACUUUUUGAAAUUUAUAGAUCUGUAAAAAC